CAAUAGCGUAUAUUAAAGUUGUUGCAGUUAAAAAGCUCGUAGUUGGAUUUCUGGUGGGAGCGAUCGGUCUGGCGCUUAGCGCGAGUACUUGCAUCGUCUCCGGCCAUCCUUGGGGAGAGUCUGUCUGGCAUUAGGUUGUCGGGCAGAGGAUCCUCAUCGUUUACUGUGAAAAAAUUAGAGUGUUCAAAGCAGGCUUAUGCCGUUGAAUAUGUUAGCAUGGAAUAAUAAGAUAGGACUUUGGUACUAUUUUGUUGGUUUGCGCACCAAAGUAAUGAUUAAUAGGGACAGUUGGGGGUAUUCGUAUUCCGUUGUCGGAGGUGAAAUUCUUGGAUUUACGGAAGACGAACUACUGCGAAAGCAUUUACCAAGGAUGUUUUCAUUAA
rnacentral:rRNA from 1 species